GGCUCGGUGGUUUAGUGGUAUAAUACUCCCUUAGGGUGGGAGUGGUCCCGGGUUCGAUUCCCGGCCGAGCCC
rnacentral:tRNA from 1 species